GGUUAAGCGACUAAGCGUACACGGUGGAUGCCCUGGCAGUCAGAGGCGAUGAAGGACGUGCUAAUCUGCGAAAAGCGUCGGUAAGGUGAUAUGAACCGUUAUAACCGGCGAUGUCCGAAUGGGGAAACCCAGUGCAAUUCGUUGCACUAUCGUUAACUGAAUACAUAGGUUAACGAGGCGAACCGGGGGAACUGAAACCUCUACGUACCCCGGGGAAAAGAAAUCAACCGAGAUUCCCCCAGUGGCGGCGAGCGAACGGGGAGCAGCCCAGAGUCUGAAUCAGCUUGUGUGUUAGUGGAACGGUCUGGAAAGUCCGACGGUACAGGGUGAUAGUCCCGUACACCAAAAUGCACAGGCUGUGAACUCGAAGAGUAGGGCGG
rnacentral:rRNA from 1 species